rnacentral:rRNA from 1 species
CAGCCGCCACGGGAAUACGGAGGGUGCAAGCGUUAAUCGGAAUUACUGGGCGUAAAGCGUGCGUAGGCAGUUCGUUAAGUCUGUUGUGAAAGCCCCGGGCUCAACCUGGGAAUGGCAAUGGAUACUGGCGAGCUAGAGUGUGUCAGAGGAUGGUGGAAUUCCCGGUGUAGCGGUGAGAUGCGUAGAGAUCGGGAGGAACAUCAGUGGCGAAGGCGGCCAUCUGGGACAACACUGACGCUGAGGCACGAAAGCGUGGGGAACAAACAGGAUUAGAUACCCCAGUAGUCCCUGUCUCUUAUAC